AUGAGUCGUCAUGAUGGCAUCAACAUCCCCGAUGGCAAGUUCUACCGUAGAGAUGUUGGCUAUGCAUGUCGGCCAGCUGUUCUUCCACCCUUCAGGAAAACCAGGUACCAUCUGAACAAGUUUGCUGGUAGGAACUAUCCUAGGACUCCUCAGGAACUAUUCAAUCUCAGACACUCCAGCCUUAGAGUGACUGUUGAGAGAGCUUUUGGAGCUCUGAAGAACAGGUUUAAGAUCCUGGAUCAGAAGCCAUUCCACCCUUACCCUACCCAGGUGAAGCUUGUUCUUGCAUGUUGCAUCAUUCACAACUGGAUCCUGCAAUGGGGAGUUGAUGAAUUUGUGCCAGAGGAGGAAGAUGUGACUCCUGAUGAGGUGAUCAGCUCCGGCCAUGGAGUGGAGGCGUUCGACAAUGAAGCGUGGAAGAACAAAAGGUUGGAGUGGGCUCAGGCAAUG
rnacentral:rRNA from 1 species